AAGCCCCUAGACCAGGGAAAGUUGGCUCCGAAUUGGGAAGGACCCUACAAGGUAGCGGACACCUACGGGCCGAGAGCUUACCGACUGGAGACUCUAGAAGGAAGCACCAUUCCCCGGACUUGGAAUGCCGACAAUUUGAAGUUGUACUACCAGUAAACUCUGUGUGCCCUUGUUCGGAAUACAAACUCAGCUUCAAAGCUUCGGAGUUUAGAAUCUCAACCCUCCAACGGCGCGUCGGCGCUUGCUGGUAGUGCGAACCCCGACGCCAUGGCUUAGGCCCAGCGUUCCAUUGGAAAUCUACGACCUAAUCGUCGAUGGCGCGUUGGACUCUUGCGACGAC
rnacentral:lncRNA from 1 species